rnacentral:lncRNA from 1 species
GAGAGAACACGCGCUGAGCCCUUUUAUUGAGGAGAAGCUAUUCAAAUGAGGCAAGGGGUCAGGUUUCAGGGGGCUGAGUCUGUCUUCAUGAUGUCCACUGUCCGCAGGUUGACUGCCACCUGGGUAGGCCACACCCAAGAGCACAGUAAGAGGAGGAGACACACACAAGGCACUUCCAUGAAAGAUUCCGUCCUAAACAGGGCAAGGGGUUAUAUUACAAAGGAACAGGUGAGCAUGGCUUCACCCGUGGGGCUGUAGCAAGACACACCCAUGCACGAGACCGACCCUCGAACCCAAGAAGGGUGGGGAAAGCUUGCCACAUUUCUGCGACUGAGCGCCUCAGCACCCAGCCAGGGAGUGUGCCUCAGGCAGGUGCAACGUUGGUCUCCCACACCUACGGACAGUGUGGACAGUGAAUGAAAUGGACCUUGAGGAGGGGCACUGUAAAUGGGCACCUCCCUGGGCGAAGAGACCAACCUGGGUUUCAGAAGUGGCUGAGACCAGGAUAAUGAAAACCUGGGUCUCAGACACCGGUGGGUAUAGGACCGUGCAGGGGUGUGGGUGGACCAUGGGGAGUGGGACGACCCCCUAGUUCCUGGUUUGGACUGGGGAAGAGAGGGGAAGUCCCCAAGAGGGAGCACAGAAAGAGGCAGACUGGGGGUAAAAGUCACCCCGCGGCUGGUUUAAGGGCUCCCCAAGGACCCUGAGAUCUCCAGCAGAGUGGUCCCUGGGCAGGUGGGGAGCAGCCUGGAGCUCCAGAGAGAGGCUAGAGAGACACAAGCCUUGUGAGGGAGUGGCCAGGACCACCAGGGACUGUCCCCAGGGUGCAAAGAGUCCAGGAAUAGAACUCUGGGGAGCAGAGGGGAAGACGUCAGGGCAGGGAGGGGGACCCAGGCAGAAUAGAGUCCGGGAAGCCGCCUUCCCAGGGCACAUGCCCUCGGGCACCUCACGGAAAGUCACCUGGCAGGAAGGGACCAGCAGUGGCACCAGGGCCACCUGUGAGGCUCCUCCCACCUGAACACUUGCUCUUCCUCCUACUGCUGGCCUCUCCAGUGCCCCCCACAGUCCAGAGGCCUGGACACACCAGAAACCAGGACCCCAUGCAGAGAGAAGCAUCCGUGAAUGGGUAGCCUGUGCUUUGCAUCCUGCAAACAGAUGAGAAGCCAGCACUGGGGACCCUCUCUGGCAGGUCCUGGCUUCCCACAGCUUCAGGUAUGCCGUGUCCACUGUGGCAAGAGCCCUAAGCACGGCGAGCUGCAGGUCCCAAGGCCAUCUGCACAUGCCACCACCAGGACAGGAGACACAGGGACUCCAAACAGCCAGGAGGUGUUCAAUACCACCUCCCACUCUUUCUCCACCACCCAGGAAUGGGUGUGCGCACGCACAGCCAUAUGUGUGCUCAUGUGCGUGACAUGCAAGUGCACACACGUGCACACAGACACACACCACAGUUCAGGGUCUCCCUCCUGGACAGGGCGUCCCUCUCCCCCACACCUCCUCUGUGGCCUGGAAGAACCUUCUGUCCUCCCACCUCCCUGCUGAGCACACUCUGCACAUGGGGACUUCCCAGCCCUGUCCUGUCUGCCGUGGGCUGCUCUCCUGCCAUCUG